rnacentral:tRNA from 1 species
UGAGUGUAGCUUGGUGGAAGAGUGCUUGCCUAGCAUGCACAAGGUCCUGGGUUCACUCCCAGCAUCUCAA